GGAAAAUGUCUCAUCCAUUCUCAUGUAUUUCAAUUAGUCCCACAGAAGACUUAUGAAUGCUAUUUCCUGUGGCCUCAUUGACCUGAAAAGUGGUACUCAGGGAGAUGGCUGAUACUUCCACAACGCAACAUCACCAUUGUGGCAGUCCAGUAAACUUUCAAGAUACCUGGAAAAUGUAUAACAAAAAAUAUCUGCAUCCUGGGGCACCUGGGUGUAACUUACUGACAUCAACUUUCCCACCUAAAGAAAGAAUAAGGAACACAAGAGAAAUUUAAUGACUUUCCUGAAGGAGAAAAUUUCAAUGAAUCCCCAUACACCUGUCACAUCUUCCAGACCAACCUUCCCAUCAGCUGUAAGACAAAGAGUAGUCACAGACCAAAAAUGAGACUGUUACUUCUCUCAAAUCCAAGCUGUCCUAAAGGGGAUACAUUUUUAUGUACAAUGCUCACCAUCAACUGGUAGGUCUUGUGAAAAAUCUUCAAGUUCUUUACGUGAGAGCUUAAUCCCCAUAUUUUCUAGAAAUGUGUCCAGGUUAUUCAUAUCAACCUUUCCUCCUUGGGAGAGACAAAGUAUCAUAAAAACAACCAAGAUGUGGAAAAAUUCCUUAUUAACUCAUGUAUAUUAUGGUUCUCACUUUACUCAUGAAGACAUUAAGGUCCAGUAAGACCUAACCAAGCGUACAAGGAGGAUCAACAUUAAAACUAGACGUAGAGUCUCAUCGUUUGACUGUAUCUUUUGUUCAUAUCAAC
rnacentral:lncRNA from 1 species